UACGAAGGGGGCUAGCGUUGCUCGGAAUUACUGGGCGUAAAGCGCACGUAGGCGGACCGAUAAGUCGGGGGUGAAAUCCUGGAGCUCAACUCCAGAACUGCCUUCGAUACUGGCGAUCUUGAGUCCGGAAGAGGUGAGUGGAACUGCGAGUGUAGAGGUGAAAUUCGUAGAUAUUCGCAAGAACACCAGUGGCGAAGGCGGACUCACUG
rnacentral:rRNA from 1 species